rnacentral:rRNA from 1 species
UACGGAGGAUCCAAGCGUUAUCCGGAUUUAUUGGGUUUAAAGGGUGCGUAGGCGGCUCUUUAAGUCAGGGGUGAAAGACGGUGGCUCAACCAUCGCAGUGCCUUUGAUACUGAAGAGCUUGAAUAGACCUGAGGUAGGCGGAAUGUGACAAGUAGCGGUGAAAUGCAUAGAUAUGUCACAGAACACCAAUUGCGAAGGCAGCUUACUAAAGUCUAAUUGACGCUGAGGCACGAAAGCGUGGGGAUCAAACAGGAUUAGAAACCCCCGUAGUCC